UACGUAGGGUGCGAGCGUUAAUCGGAAUUACUGGGCGUAAAGCGUGCGUAGGCGGCUAUGUAAGACAGAUGUGAAAUCCCUGGGCUUAACCUAGGAACUGCAUUUGUGACUGCAUUGCUGGAGUGUGGUAGAGGGAGAUGGAAUUCCGCAUGUAGCAGUGAAAUGCGUAGAUAUGCGGAGGAACACCAAUGGCGAAGGCAAUCUCCUGGACCUGCACUGACGCUCAUGCACGAAAGCGUGGGGAUCAAACAGG
rnacentral:rRNA from 1 species